GAAAAUGUGCUCAAGCGCCCUUUUGGCUGUAAUUGAGUGCACAUUUUGAGGUAUGUUCGUUUUGAUUCCUGCUUUUGUAUUUUGUGCAUCUUGAGUCAUUUUUUCGUACCGUUUCCAUUCUUCAUCUUUUAAUUUCAUCCAAUUGACUUUGUGUAAUCUUCAAUCAUUGUUUCUUGAUAAACCAACUUUUAGAUAUUUGUAAUUUAGUUCUUUGAAAUUCUUUGCUUUGUAAAUCACGACUCAUAUUUUUAGAUCACAAGUUAUUAGUCACAUCGCUCCUCGUUGCUGCUUCAUAAGCAGCUAAGCGACGCCCGUUGCUGCUGCACACGAACUGCAAUGGCACUAGGCAUCGCCUAUCGGGUGCAGGGGCAUUGCUGCAUCAUUGCUAGUUAUGUAGAGCCGUCGAAGAUGAAUGAGUGAAGAAGAGGUGGUGGAGAAUGAAGUGGGUAAAGAGAGAUUUGUGUAAAUGAAUGAGGGUUUGCGGA
rnacentral:lncRNA from 1 species